AUUUGAUUGGAUAAUGCUUGGAUUGAUGUUUAAUCAAUGCCCCAUUAUCUUGGAACUGAUGCCAGGUAUAUCCAAGGCCGACCAUGCAAAUAUAUUGGUAUUUUUCUACAAAAAGAAAAUGACUCGACACUUAGAUACCUUGUCCAGUUGAGAGCCGAUCUAGACCAUUUUAUCAAUUCUUCCUUCUCCCAGCAGCACUGAGAUGAGAUCCUCCACUGGUUCACCAUGUUGCUUGCUUAGAUCAUCCCUAACAUCCAAUCCUUCAAUUGGGAGUGCCUUAAAUCAUUUGGUCUCUUGAAGAGUUAUCAUAUAAUAUUGCCACACGAGUGCUUGGUCACCUCGGAUCU
rnacentral:lncRNA from 1 species